rnacentral:rRNA from 1 species
UACGUAGGUCCCGAGCGUUGUCCGGAUUUAUUGGGCGUAAAGCGAGCGCAGGUGGUUUAUUAAGUCUGGUGUAAAAGGCAGUGGCUCAACCAUUGUAUGCAUCGGAAACUGGUAGACUUGAGUGCAGGAGAGGAGAGUGGAAUUCCAUGUGUAGCGGUGAAAUGCGUAGAUAUAUGGAGGAACACCGGUGGCGAAAGCGGCUCUCUGACCUGUAACUGACACUGAGGCUCGAAAGCGUGGGGAGCAAACAGG